AAGACUAUAGACCUGCGGAGUACCUGCGGAAGGAUCAUUAUUGAAUUAUGUUUCUAAAUGGGUUGUAGCUGGCUCGUCAGAGCAUGUGCACGCCUGUUUGGACUUCAUUUUCAUCCACCUGUGCACCUAUUGUAAUCUUUGGUUGGGUAUCAAGGAAGUGGUCAGCCUAUCAGCACUUGCUGGAUGUGAGGACUUGCAGUGUGAAAGCUUUGCUGUCCUUUACUUGAUCAUGGAGUUGUU
rnacentral:misc_RNA from 1 species